rnacentral:lncRNA from 1 species
AUGUCGGCCCGCUCUCCUGAUGACUGGUUUGCUAAUGUGAUCUGCCAUCAGAGGCCCCCUCCCAACCGGCCCCAUGCUGGUGCUCCAGUGGAUGGCUCCGCCAGCGUUCCUCCAAGUAACAUGCUGGACCCGGACCCGAACCCGGACCCUGGAACACAUCCCAGAGCGAGCCAUUAUUGCUCCAGCCCUCGUCGCGUCGCGCUCUUCCCCCGCUGGAGCCAUGUUGUCCAGGGGGCGUUCUCUGGAUUCUGCCCCUCCGCAGCAUCGCUAGCAGCCCGCUGCUGCCUCCGCUCCCCGCCAGGCCUCCGUCUGCUCCUCCCGGCUCUGCGACCAGGAUUUGGGGGUCAGGAUUGUUGAGAAAGGCGAGAAACCCAGAGAAGCAAGAAGGGAGGACUCGACUGCGGAGCUCCGUCCGCCCAGCAGCGUCUCUGGCUCGGCUCCGUGGGAAGGCUCCGAACAGGUAGGAACUUGGAGGAUUUCUCACGCUUUAUUUUUAAUGUCCGGGUCUCCUGGAGACUCAACAUUCAUGUGUUCGCAUGUUCUGGUUCUGGUUCUGGUUGUGGGGAGAGUGUACCGAGCUGGGGAAAAUGUCAGCUAGCUGUAACCGAACCUUCCGGAACCAGCAGCUAACACUGAUCAACACCAGCUUGACUGGGUUAAAUGGCUGUUGUCGAGUCGCUUUCACCACCGUGAGGGUGAGACCGUGACACCGUGAGGGUGAGACCGUGAGGGUGAGAGGGUGAGACCGUCAGGGUGAGAGGGUGAGACCGUGAGGGUGAGACCGUGAGGGUGAGACCGUGACACCGUGAGGGUGACACCGUGACACCGUGAGGGUGACACCGUGAGGGUGACACCGUGACACCCUGUCAGGGUCUGCGGCCACAGAAUAAACAAACCUGCUCGUGUGCGCUCUUGGUUCCGAUGCUAACUGGACACCAACAUUAGCCUGCGCAGCGCGCAGUCGCGCUACCGACUGAAGCUCACGCACACGCGCACGUCACAUCCCGCCACCGCGCUGC